rnacentral:tRNA from 1 species
GGGCCUGUAGCUCAGCUGGUUAGAGCGCACGCCUGAUAAGCGUGAGGUCGGUGGUUCGUGUCCACUCAGGCCCACCA